AGCAGCCGCGGUAAUUCCAGCUCCAAUAGCGUAUAUUAAAGUUGUUGCAGUUAGAAAGCUCGUAGUUGAAUUUCGGGAUUGACACAUCGGUCGUGCCUUAAGGGGUAUGAACUGGUGUAGUCAAUUUCUCACCUUCUGGAGAACCGCGAUGCCCUUAAUUGGGUGUCGCGGGGAACCAGGACCUUUACUUUGAAAAAUUAGAGUGUUUAAAGCAGGCAUUUUGCUUGAAUACAUUAGCAUGGAAUAAUAAAGUAGGACGGCAUGAUUCUAUUUUGUUGGUUUCUAGGAUCACCGUAAUGAUUAAUAGGGAUAGUUGGGGCAUUAGUAUUCAAUUGUCAGAGGUGAAAUUCUUGGAUU
rnacentral:rRNA from 1 species